CCUCCUUCUCCUGUCAUCCCAGUGCCAUGACUACUUGGAUCCAGAAACUUAAUUGCAAGUAAGUAAACUGCUUUGAUGAAAUUGUAUAAUGGAAACUAGAUCCAAGUAGUCAUGGCACUGACCUACUGGAUAGAGCCU
rnacentral:ncRNA from 1 species